rnacentral:lncRNA from 1 species
GCUUGGUGGACAGAAGGCUAGAGCCAUGAGAACUAUAUUACAAAUACAGUCAUAGUUAUUGACAUCACAUUGAUCAGUGAAUUUGACAAGAAAAUUAGUAAUCUAAAUUGAACUAUAUUUAAUGGGAUUAUGUUGCAAACUUCAAAUAAUCAAUCAAGCCGCUAGUUUGUAUAAAUAUGUGAUUCUCCCCAUCAUGUUAGGCCUCAUUGUAACCAAUCUGAUGCCCAAUACACA